GUUAGGAAUAUUGGACAAUGGGCGAAAGCCUGAUCCAGCCAUGCCGCGUGAACGAUGAAGGCCUUCGGGUUGUAAAGUUCUUUAGCCGAUGAUUAUAAUGACUGUAGUCGGAAAAUAAGCCCCGGCUAACUUCGUGCCAGCAGCCGCGGUAAUACGAAGGGGGCGAGCGUUAUUCGGAAUCACUGGGCGUAAAGCGUGCGUAGGCGGUUUUGUAAGUUAGGAGUGAAAGCCCAGGGCUCAACCUUGGAAUUGCUAUUAAAACUGCAAGGCUCGAAUCUCGGAGAGGAUAGCGGAAUUUCCAGUGUAGCAGUGAAAUGCGUAGAUAUUGGAAGGAACACCAGUGGCGUAAGCGGCUAUCUGGACGAGUAUUGACGCUGAGGCACGAAAGCGUGGGGAUCAAACAGGAUUAGAAACCCGGGUAGUCC
rnacentral:rRNA from 1 species